AGUGGUGAAUAGUGACAGAGUUAGGGAGGGAAGGGGUGACUAGUGACAGAGUGAGGAAGGGGGUGACUAGUGAUAGAGGGAGGGGUAACUAGGAACAGAGUGAGGGAGGUGGUGACUAGUGACUAGUGACAGUCACCACCUCCCUCACUCUGUCACUAGUCACCCCGUCCUUCCCUCACUCUACCACUAGUCACCCCUUCCCUCACUCUGUCACCAGUCCUCCCCUCACUCUGUCACUAGUCACCCCUUCCUUCCCUCACUCUGCCACUAGUCACCCCUUCCCUCACU